rnacentral:rRNA from 1 species
UACGUAGGGGGCAAGCGUUAUCCGGAUUUACUGGGUGUAAAGGGAGCGUAGACGGCAGUGCAAGUCUGAAGUGAAAGGCGGGGGCCCAACCCCCGGACUGCUUUGGAAACUGUGCUGCUGGAGUGCAGGAGAGGCAAGUGGAAUUCCUAGUGUAGUGGUGAAAUGCGUAGAUAUUAGGAGGAACACCAGUGGCGAAGGCGGCUUGCUGGACUGUAACUGACGUUGAGGCUCGAAAGCGUGGGGAGCAAACAGG